rnacentral:rRNA from 1 species
GAUGAACGCUGGCGGCAUGCUUUACACAUGCAAGUCGAACGGUAACAGGUUAAGCUGACGAGUGGCGAACGGGUGAGUAAUGCAUCGGAACGUGCCCGGUCGUGGGGGAUAACGCAGCGAAAGCUGCGCUAAUACCGCAUACGAUCUGAGGAUGAAAGCGGGGGACCGUAAGGCCUCGCGCGAUCGGAGCGGCCGAUGUCAGAUUAGGUAGUUGGUGGGGUAAAGGCUCACCAAGCCGAUGAUCUGUAGCUGGUCUGAGAGGACGACCAGCCAACCUGGGCCUGAGACACGGCCCAGACUCCUACGGGAGGCAGCAGUGGGGAAUUUUGGACAAUGGGCGCAAGCCUGAUCCAGCAAUGCCGCGUGCAGGAAGAAGGCCUUCGGGUUGUAAACUGCUUUUGUACGGAGCGAAAAGGCUCUCUCUAAUACAGGGGGCUCAUGACGGUACCGUAAGAAUAAGCACCGGCUAACUACGUGCCAGCCGCCGCGGUAA